rnacentral:misc_RNA from 1 species
GUUUUAAUCCAAGAUUUCUGUUGAUGGGAUGAUCGCUUUAAAUAUGAAAAUUUUGAGAAGGCUAUAAAAUGAGCUUUUAAGAACUGGAAGAAAUUUCUGAGAAUCUAUAAUAAAGUACAUUCAAGGCAGUAAAAUGUGAUUAUAAUAAAUAUCAAAAUAUAAAGGGUUGAACAAUCCAUCAGAUACCUGAUGAUUUUCAGGUUGAAUUGAAAUAACUGAUUUUCUAAGAUUUAUCGACCAACUGUUCCGAAUUAUAUGUGCUACUGAAGAUUGCUAAACCAACUAACAUAUUCAGUUGCAUCGGUUUUCUUGGUUUUUUCAAUCAUAGUGAAUAAUGGCUGAAAAUUUAUGCCUUGUUUGUAGCCCGAACCAAAAGAAUUUUGUAACCUCAAAUGACUUAGUAAUAGCAAAUCUGUCUUUUGUUUCUUUAAUUCCAUGCCUUAUUUGUGCUGAUAACCUACUAUUUUCAGUUAAGUUUGUAUAUUUAAAUUCUGGAGCAGGAUCAAGGAUCUUUUCAUCCUUGACAGGUAGAGUUAUAAUUUUUUUUUUUUAAUACAUCAUUCUAAUUUAUUACUGGCUUUUUCUUAAUUAUGAUUAGUUGUGGUAUUGAUAUUGAUUCUGUAAUAUCUGAGUUUUGAUGAGAUUUAUCUGGCAGAUGACA